rnacentral:rRNA from 1 species
CAAAAACAUAGCCAAUAGAAAAAAUUAUUAAUGGUGAUGCCUGCUCAAUGAAAAUAGCUGCGGUAACACCUGACCGUACAAAGGUAGCAUAAUAAAUCGCCUACUAAUUAUAGGAUAGAAUGAAGGUAAAACGAAGACCCAACUGUCUCAAAAUAUCCAAAUACAAAAUAGAAUGUGUGUGCAAAUCCACACUAAGAUGGCAAGACGAUAAGACCCUAAGAACUUUAAGUCUUAAGUUUCGUUGGGGCAACGGUCUUUAAAAAAGUAACUAAGACAAGACCCAUUAAAACAUUAAUGAUAAUAUGAUAAAAGUUCCUUAGGGA